GGCUGCACUAUGAGCAUGUUGAUUUUCAGUUUUAAGGUUUUUGGAGUGAUUUUUGGAAAAUCUAAUGAAAGUUAGAUGCUGGGAGCUGUUCUUCAACCAUCUGAAAAAACAACAACAAAGUGUUUAAGAGCCUAGAUCAGGCCCAGUAGGACUCAGUUCUGCAUUUGGGGCCUGAGGACUUGCCAUUGCUUUUGGUGCUACAGACUGAUCACUGGAGGAGAGAUCUCCUAAUGACAAGUCUUUCUUCUGAGAAAUCAGAUGGGUUUUCUUCGGUGCAUGUACUGUCUCCAAGUAGCUUUCGUGUGCCUCUGGGAUUUCCUAUGAUGCAGGGGUUUUAGAGCUUUUUUUUGAUGUUCUACAUUGAUUCAGUGCUGGAGGUGAGUCAGGGCUGUGGUUUGUACAGGUCAGUGGCUGUUCUCCAGCAGUUGCUGGUGGUAAGAAGUGUGUGGAGGGACUUCUGGUGUCAGAUAUGCCUCUUGAUUUUAACUGUGCAGUCUGGAAUCAAUCUCCCCACCAGUUGCACUGACAUAAACUGGAAAUGAAGGGGAAAAAACCAGCCUGUUAGUAGUCCUCUGAUAAAGGUCAGGUUCCUGCAGAGUAAAACCAGUGAUUCACCUGGUGCAAGUGUAGCUUUGCAUCAGCAAAUGCAAUCACUGUGUCUGUCUCCCUUGCUGUGUUGAGGAGGGUGAGCAUGUGCAUGUAGGACUACAGCCCUGGGUUGUUUUUUGCUUGAUAAGCUUGCUGAGGUAGGCUAGUCCCUGUUCUUGACUCCAAGAGGAGCAGCAAGCCACAGGACAACACGGUGUUGGUGAAACUUGGUUGUAUUUUGGUCCUAACCAGAAGUAUGCUUGCUGAAAAAAUUGGCCCUUUGAUGGGGAAGUGCAACAAAGCAUCAAUUGUGUAUGGGCAUCCAGUGUUGUAUUUAAAUUAUUCUCAAUCUGCCCACAACAGAGGGGAAUGCUGUUGUGUGCCAAGCUCUGGCACUUGGCCCUGGAGCAGGUAACUCUAUAAACAGUCUCCCCAAAGCAUUUAGCAAUAUUCAUGUGUGCUAUAAGGCAGCUUCAUGAAGGGGAGGAGGUGCUGUGGGACAGCAGUG